rnacentral:lncRNA from 1 species
UCAAUUAAAACAAGCUUUUUUAUUUGUGUCCAUGGAUUACCUUCCCCUAAGGCAGGGUUCUAGAGGUCAGCCUUGGAUGUGAGGAAGACAAGGCUUUUACAAUUCGGGCAGAGGGUUUCAAGUGGGGGUUGGUGGCAAAAUCGGUGGGGUUACAGGAGCAGAGCAUCAUAACAAGUUGGUCCUAAUGAUCCCGUGAAACAAAGAUACAGUUGCAAGGUGGGUACAACAGGGUGGUUAUAACAACAGGUAGUCAUAACAACCUUUCGAAACAAAGAUAGAGUUGCAAGGUGGGCAUAACAAGGUGGUUAUAACAACAGGUAGUCAUAACAACCUUUCGAAACAAAGAUAGAGUUGCAAGGUGGGCACAACAGGGUGGUUAUAACAACAGGCAGUCAUAACAACCUUUCAGAAACAAAGACAGAGUUGCAAGGUGGGCACAACAGGGUGGUUAUAACAACAGGUAGUCAUAACAACCUUUUGAAACAAAGAUAGAGUUGCAAGACAGUUAUAACAACUUUUUGAAAUAAAGACAUGAUUGUCAUUCCUGGGACAGGCAGUACAGAACCAUUUGUAGUUAAGGUUUAGGUGGGGCAUGGCCCAAUCCUUGAGAAACAGAGGUUUGAUUAUAAAUAGGAAGGAACCUAAUUUGUCUUUAUUGUAAGCCUAAAAUGGAGGCAGGCUGGUUCUUCACUCUCCCUUGUCCUAUGCGUCCCUGUCAAGUCCUUGAUAGGGUCUUAGCAUUCUUUAUCUGGGAAAACAAAAUUUGCAUUGCAUCAAAAGAUGCACUGUUCAUUAAUAAAUUGUUCCUGUUUGGUUAGCAUAGAUAGAACAAAUAUUUUAAGACCAUAUACUCUUGGUAUGUCAAUAGGUACUAUAGUUAGCCAUCUUGUCCCUUUGCCAGGGAAUAUCCUUGGACUUAAUAUUCCAGUACAAGGGGUGCUGUAUUUUUCUUCUGAAACUACUUCUGGAUGAAAUUAAGACACCAUUGUCAGGGCUCAGGAAGGCUGGAAUGUUAGCCAAGAGCCAGGAGGGGAUUACAGCAAUGGGACAUUCAUCAGGAGCAUCGGUUCACUGCCCAGCCAAAGAAUCAGGGAGCAAUCACAUCUACUGGUCUGGUUUACAUCAGCUUUCAGCAAGUCCAGGGCUUUCCAAUUUUGUGAACUACCUGGGGAUGGGACAGUGUAGAUCACUUUUGAAGCCAGUUGUAGUUGAAAGCUGAUUUCUGGACAGUGUCUGCCAGCUGAGUGGCACUCUGCCAAAACAGACAGACUAGGGACAAAAGUUAAAGAACUUAAAGGAAACUUUAUAUUUGGCAUUUCCCCCUCAGGAAAAGGUGACAGCAGGGAAGCUCAGGCUGAUUGACAGGAGUACUUACCUGGAGUCCAUUUGACAUGUGAGAGGUGGAUUCAAGACUUACCGACUUUCUCGAUUCCUGAAAGCUUACAUUAUCAUUGUAAUUUGUCAUAACUUACUUAGACUUUAUAUCCUUAGAUGUUCAUAAUUUAAAUUAUCUUUAAACCUUUGUAAU